CUUCAACGAUCCCAACCACAGCGGACGUUCAGCGGUGUGGUGCUUGCCGUAGGUCGCCAGGAGUGCCUGAGCCUC
rnacentral:antisense_RNA from 1 species